rnacentral:misc_RNA from 1 species
UCGAGUUUUGAAAGGGGUUGUAGCUGGCCUUCCGAGGCAUGUGCACGCCCGCUCAAUCCACUCUACACCUGUGCACUUACUGUGGGUUUCGGAGGUGAAGCGUGCUUUCGCUCGCGGAUCUAACGGGCCCGCGUUUUACUACAAACACUUUAAAGUAAACGAACGUGUAUCGCGACGUAACGCGUCUAUAUA